rnacentral:rRNA from 1 species
UACAGAGGUCCCAAGCGUUGUUCGGAUUCACUGGGCGUAAAGGGCGCGUAGGCGGCUCAUGAAGGCUGUGGUGAAAGUCCGGGGCUCAACCUCGGAUCGGCCGUGGCGACUCGUGGGCUGGAGCACUGUAGAGGCGGGUGGAAUUCCGGGUGUAGCGGUGGAAUGCGUAGAGAUCCGGAGGAACACCAGUGGCGAAGGCGGCUCGCUGGGCUCUACCUGACGCUGAGGCGCGAAAGCGUGGGGAGCGAACCGG